AUUCACGGCCUAUCAGCUUGUUGGUGAGGUAAGGGCUCACCAAGGCGACGACGGGUAGCCGGCUUGAGAGAGUGAUCGGCCACACUGGAACUGAGACACGGUCCAGAGCCCUACGGGGCGCAGCAGUAGGGAAUCUUCCGCAAUGGGCGAGAGCCUGACGGAGCGACGCCGCGUGGGGGAAGAAGGCCUUCGGGUUGUAAACCCCUGUCGGGGGAGAGGAAAGUCGCGUGUGCUCCACGCGAUUGACAUAUUCCCCCGUAGUAAGUCGUUGCUAACUUCGUGCCAGCAGCAGCGGUAAAACGAAGACGGCCAGCGUUGUCCGGAAUCACUGGGCGUAAAGGGCGCGCAGGCGGCCAUGCAAGUCGGGUGUGGAAGGCCUCGGCUCAACCGGGGACUUGCGCCCGAAACUGUGUGGCUUGAGGACGACAGGGGAGAGCGGAACUCCCGGUGGAGCGGUGAAAUGCGUAGAUAUCGGGAGGAACGCCGGCGGCGAAAGCGGCUCUCUGGGUCGUUCCUGACGCUGAGGCGCGAAAGCCAGGGUAACGAACGGGAUUAGAUACCCCGGUAGUCCUGGCCCUAAACGAUGGGCACUUGGUAUUGGGCUGAAGCUCAGUGCCGGAGUUAACGCGUUAAGUGCCCCGCCUGGGGAGUACGGAAUCGUCGACCCGCAGCCAC
rnacentral:rRNA from 1 species